rnacentral:rRNA from 1 species
GUAGGGUCCAAGCGUUAAUCGGAAUUACUGGGCGUAAAGCGUGCGCAGGCGGUUGUGCAAGACCGAUGUGAAAUCCCCGGGCUUAACCUGGGAAUUGCAUUGGUGACUGCACGGCUAGAGUGUGUCAGAGGGGGGUAGAAUUCCACGUGUAGCAGUGAAAUGCGUAGAGAUGUGGAGGAAUACCGAUGGCGAAGGCAGCCCCCUGGGAUAACACUGACGCUCAUGCACGAAGGCGUGGGGGGAGCAAACAGGAUUAGAUACCCUGGUAGUCCACGCCCCUAAACGAUGUCAACUAGUUGUUGGGGAUUCAUUUCCUUAGUAACGUAGCUAACGCGUGAAGUUGACCGCCCUGGGAGUACGGUCGCAAGAUUA